AUGAACCCAAGCUUACAGAGUCUCUGUCGGCUGUUUCACGGAUCGCCGCCCCCUUGCCGUGCUGCACCCCCAUUCCACCCACGCCCUCAGGGGUGGCUGCCCAAACUCCUGGAAAAGACUGGAGUGGAGAGUCCUUCUGCAGUCUGGGUGCUCCCAGGCUUCACACAGGCUCUGCAUCAGCUGGCAAACCUGCCCUGUUCCAGCUGUUCUGGAACAAAGCCCAGGGCAGGGCCCCACAGACACCUGGCCUUGUCAAUCCCCAGAAAACAAAGCUGGCAAACCCCCCUGCCUGUCCCCGCCCUGGGCGGCCACGUGUCCUGCCUCCGACGCCGGGCCCCAGACGGGCGUGUGGGCUCCAGGUGCAGGGCUCCCAAAGUCAAGGCUUUCAGGUCACACUGGCACAUCAUUUUGCAAGCAGAUGCCACGGGUCUCUUCCCAGACUGGGCAGCCCACAAGGUCAGCGUCAGCAGAUCUGACCCUAAAAAUAGGCUCUUGGAUGCCAGUGGAGGUGGCCGGGUGUGUGGCUGCCACACGCCCCACAGACCAGCACCUCCUGCCCCGGCCAGGCCCCAGCACACACAGGCGCAUUCCAAGCCCGACUUGGGUGGUGUCAUGGAAGAAAUGUGGUGUGCAUGCAUUUCAACACAGACUAACUUUCCCCCAAGAUCCUGAUGCAGUAGGAAGGUAAAUACGCAACGUAUACAUACGCCCAGAUACAGAAGGACUUCAGAAGGGAGAGGGGACUGUUUUAAGACUACUGUAGAAACUGCUCUACUAGACCAAAAACUUCUAGAAGGCAGAGACUUCUCUGGCCCAGCCCAUAUCUGGUACUUAAUGGAGGAAUGGGUGAGGAAAGCCUGGGUGUGGAGGGCUGGGCCAGGCCUGACUUAGAAGGUAAAAUGGGUCACACUCAUUCGUAACCUCCUGGAGCACCUCUGAUGUUGGCUGAUUGAGACUAAACCGAGACCGGGGAAGGGGAAUCAAGGAUGCUGGCUCUGGCACCAUGGGGCAGGGGAACGAUGCUGCCCUCUUCACCCAAGGUCUGUCUCCAGUCAGAGGGGAAGGAGGCUUCCCUCAGAGGUAGAUUUGCCCCCAAAGCUUCAAGACCCGCACACUUACAUGGGCCUCUUCCAAGGCCCUGUACCUGUUUGGUUUUCCUUUCCUUAAAGAAAUUGUAUAAGCUUCAGGACACACAAAACUUGAUUCUCCUCUGGUUUCUCGAAGCACUGAGGGAUUAGAGUGACCUUCUAACAUGACCUAAGCCUGACUCUGCUCCCAGAGGCCUCAAGGAGGGCAUGGCUCCCUUCGGGGAACUCACACUUAUGGGGAGGGCACGCGGUGCCUCGUGAGAUAUAAGGAACACCUAGCCAGGCCUGGUCCUGACGGUCACCCCCCUGUGCCUUAGCCCAAAGGUUUAGGGUGGGCAUCUACUUUGUCCAGAACAAUUCUUUUUUUUUUUUUUUUCCAAGAUUUUAUCAUUUGAGACAGAGAGUGAGAGAGAGAGAUAGAGAGAAAGCAUGGGUGGGCAGAGGGAGAGGGAGAAGCGGGCUCCCCGCUGAGCAGGGAGCCCGACACUGGGCUGGAUCUCAGGACCCUGGGAGUGACCUGACCUGAAGGCAGACGCUUAACCAACUGAGCCACCCAGGCGCCCCUGUCCAGAACAAUUCUAAAA
rnacentral:lncRNA from 12 species